rnacentral:rRNA from 1 species
GACGAACGCUGGCGGCGUGCCUAAUACAUGCAAGUAGAACGCUGAAGAGAGGAGCUUGCUCUUCUUGGAUGAGUUGCGAACGGGUGAGUAACGCGUAGGUAACCUGCCUUGUAGCGGGGGAUAACUAUUGGAAACGAUAGCUAAUACCGCAUAACAAUGGAUGACACAUGUCAUUUAUUUGAAAGGGGCAAUUGCUCCACUACAAGAUGGACCUGCGUUGUAUUAGCUAGUAGGUGAGGUAAUGGCUCACCUAGGCGACGAUACAUAGCCGACCUGAGAGGGUGAUCGGCCACACUGGGACGGAGACACGGCACAGAGUCCUACGGGAGGGAGCAGUAGGGAAUCUUCGGGAAUGGGGGCAAACCUGACCGAGCAACGCCGCGUGAGUGAAGAAGGUUUUCGGAUCGUAAAGCUCUGUUGUAAGUCAAGAACGGGUGUGAGAGUGGAAAGUUCACACUGUGACGGUAGCUUACCAGAAAGGGACGGCUAACUACGUG